rnacentral:rRNA from 1 species
UACGUAGGGGGCAAGCGUUGUCCGGAAUCAUUGGGCGUAAAGAGCGUGUAGGCGGCCAGAAAAGUCCGCUGUGAAAACUCGAGGCUCAACUUCGAGCUGUCGGUGGAAACUUUCUGGCUAGAGUCCGGAAGAGGAGAAUGGAAUUCCUGGUGUAGCGGUGAAAUGCGCAGAUAUCAGGAAGAACACCCGUGGCGAAGGCGGUUCUCUGGGACGGUACUGACACUGAGACGCGAAAGCGUGGGGAGCGAACAGG